AUACCUCAAAGAUUUUUUUCUGUCACUAACAAUUCUGCCAGCUUGUCUUGGGCUUCAGCUUAAUAUCUGAUACAGUUCCUAUUUGGGGCCAUCGAUAUUAAACUGAUUUUUAGAAUGAGGCGAAGAGUUAGCGGCUUACUCUGCCUUUACCACGGGUUGGCCUAGUAUAGCAGUACUUCCAGGAUUCAGCCCACAAAAA